AGGGAAUCUUCCGCAAUGGGCGAAAGCCUGACGCAGCGACGCCGCGUGAGCGAUGAAGGCCUUCGGGUCGUAAAGCUCUGUCAGAGGGGACGAUAAUGACGGUACCCUCAGAGGAAGCCCCGGCUAACUACGUGCCAGCAGCCGCGGUAAGACGUAGGGGGCUAGCGUUGUCCGGAAUUACUGGGCGUAAAGGGCGUGUAGGCGGCCAGGCAAGUCAGUGGUGAAACACCUGGGCUUAACCGAGGUAUUGCCGUUGAAACUGUCUGGCUUGAGGAUAGAAGGGGAGUGUGGAAUUCCCGGUGUAGCGGUGAAAUGCGUAGAGAUCGGGAGGAACACCAGUGGCGAAGGCGGCACUCUGGUCUAUACCUGACGCUGAGGCGCGAAAGCUAGGGAAGCAAAC
rnacentral:rRNA from 1 species